rnacentral:pre_miRNA from 1 species
UUAAUUCAAAUUUGUAUAGAGUUGGAACGUCUGCCUACGUUUGCCGCUAGGAGCGCUGUUCCAAUACAAAAUUGUGUUA